AAUUUUGGACAAUGGGGGAAACACUGAUCCAGUCAGCCCGCGUGUAUGAAGAAUGCCAUCGGUUUGUAAAGUACUUUUGGCAGAGAAGAAAAGGUAUCUCCAAAUACGAGAUACUGCUGACUGUAUCUGCAGAAUAUGCAUAGGCUAACUACAUGCCAGAAGCCGCGGUAAUACGUAUGGUGCAAUCGUUAAUCGGAAUUACUGGGCGUAAAGCGUGUGUAGGCGGUUCGGAAAGAAAGAUGUGAAAUCCCAGGGCUCAACCUUGGAACUGCAUUUUUAACUGCCGAGCUAGAGUAUGUCAGAGGAGGGUAGAAUUCCACGUGUAGCAGUGAAAUGCGUAGAUAUGUGGAGGAAUACCGAUGGCGAAGGCAGCCCCCUGGGAUAAUACUGACGCUCAGACACGAAAGCGUGGGGAGCAAACAGG
rnacentral:rRNA from 1 species